rnacentral:lncRNA from 1 species
GAAUUUACAAGCUUUCCAACAAGACUGAAGAAAUCCAGGAAACCACAAUGACAGAUCCACUUGAAACAACCAUUUCAUGUCCUUUGCUGUCCUUUGAGCAUGGCCCAGACCUCUGAGAAUACUGGGAGGAAAAAGAAUAAUUCCAAUGAGUAUUUCAGAGAUUCUGCUGUCAGAUGCUUUUCUGCUUUCACACAGGCUCAAUCCUGACAUGACUGACUUCAGUAAAGUCACUUUAGGAGCAGCACUACUGGGAAGCAGCAGGAAUCCUCCUGCAAGAGAUGAGGAUUCACGUCAGGAUGAUACUGCUGAGGAUUCACAGUACAUCAACACAGGUAACACUGUCCUUUUUUUUAAAUUAUAUGGUGCCUGUGGAUCAGGCUUCAAAGGUGACCAUCAGCUCUCAUUUCUAGGUGCCCUGACUCGAGUCUGAAUCUCCUCACUGGCUGGAGUUGGCUUCUCACUCCUUUACUUCACUCUCAUUUUCUGUGUCCUACACAUUGUCUACUCCACUUUGGAACAGGGAUUUGCAUCACAGUUUCCCAGGUGCCAGAGAG